rnacentral:rRNA from 1 species
CUACGUGCCAGCAGCCGCGGUAAUACGUAUGUCACAAGCGUUAUCCGGAUUUAUUGGGCGUAAAGCGCGUCUAGGUGGUUAUGUAAGUCUGAUGUGAAAAUGCAGGGCUCAACUCUGUAUUGCGUUGGAAACUGCAUAACUAGAGUACUGGAGAGGUAAGCGGAACUACAAGUGUAGAGGUGAAAUUCGUAGAUAUUUGUAGGAAUGCCGAUGGGGAAGCCAGCUUACUGGACAGAUACUGACGCUAAAGCGCGAAAGCGUGGGUAGCAAACAGGAUUAGAUACCCUGGUAGUCCACSCCGUAAACGAUGAUUACUAGGUGUUGGGGGUCGAACCUCAGCGCCCAAGCUAACGCGAUAAGUAAUCCGCCUGGGGAGUACGUACGCAAGUAUGAAACUCAAAGGAAUUGACGGGGACCCGCACAAGCGGUGGAGCAUGUGGUUUAAUUCGACGCAACGCGAGGAACCUUACCAGCGUUUGACAUC